AGCAGCCGCGGUAAUUCCAGCUCCAAUAGCGUAUAUUAAAGUUGUUGCAGUUAAAAAGCUCGUAGUUGAAUUUCGAGAUCAGUACGCCGGUCGUGCCUUCGGUAUGCACUGGUGUCACCGGUUUCUCCCUUCUGAAGAACCAUCAUGCCAUUCAGUUGGUGUGGCGGGGAAUCAGGACUGUUACUUUGAAAAAAUUAGAGUGUUUAAAGCAGGCUCGCGCUUGAAUACAUUAGCAUGGAAUAAUGAAAUAGGACGUUUGACCCUAUUUUGUUGGUUUCUAGGAUCGACGUAAUGAUUAAUAGGGAUAGUUGGGGGCAUUAGUAUUCAAUUGUCAGAGGUGAAAUUCUUGGAUUUAUUGAAGACUAACUACUGCGAAAGCAUUUGCCAAGGAUGUUUUCAUUAAUCAAGAACGAAAGUUAGGGGAUCGAAGACGAUCAGAUACCGUCGUAGUCUUAAACCAUAAACUAUGCCGACUAGGGAUCGGAUGAUGUUAAUUUUUUUCAAUGACUCAUUCGGCGCC
rnacentral:misc_RNA from 1 species